rnacentral:rRNA from 1 species
GGAAUAUUGCACAAUGGGCGAAAGCCUGAUGCAGCGACGCCGCGUGAGCGAAGAAGUAUUUCGGUAUGUAAAGCUCUAUCAGCAGGGAAGAAAAUGACGGUACCUGACUAAGAAGCCCCGGCUAACUACGUGCCAGCAGCCGCGGUAAUACGUAGGGGGCAAGCGUUAUCCGGAUUUACUGGGUGUAAAGGGGGCGCAGGCGGUUUGGCAAGUCUGAAGUGAAAGCCCGUGGCUCAACUGCGGGACUGCUUUGGAAACUGUCAAACUAGAGUAUCGGAGAGGCAAGUGGAAUUCCUGGUGUAGCGGUGAAAUGCGUAGAUAUCAGGAGGAACACCGGUGGCGAAGGCGGCUUGCUGGACGAUAACUGACGCUGAGGCCCGAAAGCGUGGGGAGCAAACA